GCCUACUCCCUGUUCCCACCACUGCUUGGGUAACCCAGCACCAGAGACUAGAUAACCCCGAGUCCUAGGGUAAGACCAAACAUGACUGGUCUAAAAGAAAAUGAUUCCUAAUGAGAGUCUGCUAUACUCACAGAUGAGUGUCUUAUCCAAUCAUCAUCAGAGAGACUUCCUCUGGCAGCAGACAGGAACAGACUCAGAGACCCACAGCCAGACAUUCGGUGGAGAGAGAAUCUAAAUGGGGGUCUCCAUCAAAUCCCUCCCUCCGAGUUCAGGACAUCUUGUGGAAAAACAAUGGUCCAACUUCUGGUCAAGGCUAUUUACUCAAUAUCCAGGGCCUGAACUGGAACGUGAUCUCUCAGCCUUUUCCCAUCAUGUGACAGGCGACUUUGCCGCGCUUCACAAGGAGGCCAGCAGCUGCAGGUAAGCAGCUUUGUUGACAGAAUGUGCAGCCUGACUGUGGGCCCGGAGCCAAGUGGCCAUGCAUUGACCUUCUGAAACCAGGACCCAAGACAAAUCCUUCCUCCGUUAAGUCUGGAAAGGCCGAUUCAUACACCCAGCUCAUUACGAGUGUUACAAAUACAGGAACCUUCUGCUUCUUUUCCACCCAUGUACUUCAGCUCUUACAUGUGUACACGAUACAAAGUCAGUACUUUAAAAAUAACGGUUGAAAAAAGGAGCAUGAUUCUGGAAAAAAAAAAAAAGCACCUGGUGUGUUUGGCAAAAGAGCAAUAAUUUAAAAAAUUAUCAUUGCUAAAAUGAGUGGAAUUUUGAAAACCACAAGGAUUUACAAGUAGAAUACUGAUGUUCUAGAACACCAGGGACAGCAGCUUGGGACAGGAAAGGAAGAGGAGAGUGAACGCCAUCCUGUGGCUUUGACCUGCCCAGAUGGUUGCCAUCCCUUUGCUGGCUCAUGGACAUGGGAAUGCUCAGAACACUGUCCCUGAAGCCAUGGAAAUCACCUCAUUGCUGGAAAUGUCCACAAAGUUUUCUACGGUCUCCAAGUACCCAGUUCUUGUGCCAAUUUCACUCACAAACUGGUUUAAAUGGUACCCUUGAAAUAUUUGUUUGGUGAAUAAAAUACGUAUUACAGAGACUUCAGAGCCAUUACAAAAACCAAUAUAUUGGUUCAUGACUUCUACUAUUGACCCCGUGAGUGAAGUGAAGGUUGCAACCUGGAGAGCCUUGGUGACACUCAAGCUUCAGAGCAUGCAUCAGUCAGUUUGGUUGCUGUGACAAAUAGCCCUCAUGGCUAAGACCAGAGGGUUUAUUUCUCCUAGUUGCAGAGGCCAGCUGGGAACUCUUCAAAAGUCAAGGUGCACUUUUGGUUUCUAGCAGCGGCUUUCUUCCUAGCCUGAGGACCUCCGCCUUCUCAAAACGUGCUUAUUUGCCAUGUCCAGCUCUUCUGUGAAGCCUGGGAGGAGAGGCAGGUCCCAGCGGCAUGGUUGAUUUGUUGACUGUGGUUUGAGGUCGCCGAGAAGCUUAUUCUAGAAACAGGAGAGAGAAAAAAAACCCCCAAGAUUCAAUUGCCCACGUCAAAUAGAUGAAGAAGCUGACUACCGUCAGCAGAAGCCAGUGUGAAGCCACUAAUUGGUGAAGCCGAGUCCUGUGCUGCCAUCUAUUGAUCUCUGAUUGCUUCAUGAGCCUCCUGAGACCAUGUGCAGAGGGCAGCUUUCAUACCACACAAAGGAGCUCCUGGGUGUCGGAAGCCGGCUGCUUCUAAACGAUCCGGUAUCUGGAUGAUUUGUCCAUGAGAGAAACAGGACAUUGCAUUCCAGCCACUUCCAUUCUCACAGGGGCUCAGCUCAUUCACAAAAAUAAGUUGAUGCCCAGAUAAACACACAGGAUUUUAUUUCUUGAGACGUUUACACUGGAAAGAAACAUCUAUGUAAUGGCAGAUACAAUUUAUUUUAACUACUCAGGCAUUACAUACUUGUGAGAUUUAUUUAAAAUGUUAACCUAAAAUAACUAUUCCAAGAGAGUGAA